UUGAGAAUUAAUCCUAAUUCUUGGGACCCUAUCAGUAUUGCCUCUGCUGUCCACUGUGUUCAGAGUAGUGCAAUAUUGCUAAUAGGGUUUUAGGUUUUAGGUUGUACCUUCAGUCAG
rnacentral:pre_miRNA from 8 species